rnacentral:rRNA from 1 species
UGCCAGCCGCCGCGGUAAUACGGAGGGUGCAAGCGUUAAUCGGAAUUACUGGGCGUAAAGCGCGCGUAGGCGGUUAAGCAAGUCAGAUGUGAAAGCCCCGGGCUCAACCUGGGAACUGCAUUUGAAACUGUUUAACUAGAGUGUGGUAGAGGAGAGUGGAAUUUCAGGUGUAGCGGUGAAAUGCGUAGAGAUCUGAAGGAACACCAGUGGCGAAGGCGACUUCCUGGGCCAAUACUGACGCUGAGGUGCGAAAGCGUGGGGAGCAAACAGGAUUAGAUA